GGAUCAUUACCGAGUGAGGGCCCUCUGGGUCCAACCUCCCACCCGUGUCUAUCGUACCUUGUUGCUUCGGCGGGCCCGCCGUUUCGACGGCCGCCGGGGAGGCCUCGCGCCCCCGGGCCCGCGCCCGCCGAAGACCCCAACAUGAACGCUGUUCUGAAAGUAUGCAGUCUGAGUUGAUUAUCAUAAUCAGUUAAAACUUUCAACAACGGAUCUCUUGGUUCCGGCAUCGAUGAAGAACGCAGCGAAAUGCGAUAAGUAAUGUGAAUUGCAGAAUUCAGUGAAUCAUCGAGUCUUUGAACGCACAUUGCGCCCCCUGGUAUUCCGGGGGGCAUGCCUGUCCGAGCGUCAUUGCUGCCCUCAAGCACGGCUUGUGUGUUGGGCCCCGUCCCCUCCCCCGGGGACGGGCCCGAAAGGCAGCGGCGGCACCGCGUCCGGUCCUCGAGCGUAUGGGGCUUUGUCACCCGCUCUGUAGGCCCGGCCGGCGCCAGCCGACACCCAACUUUAUUUUCUAAGGUUGACCUCGGAUCAGGUAGGGAUACCCGCUGAACUUAAGCAUAU
rnacentral:rRNA from 1 species